GGGGCAGUCUUGCUCCUCCACCCGAUGAGCUCUGCAGCUAACAUUGCUCCUCGCUGUCCCAUGCAGGGGACCCUGGUUCCCUCCUGGGCAGG